rnacentral:rRNA from 1 species
GAUGAACGCUGGCGGCGUGCCUAAUACAUGCAAGUCGAGCGAACAGACGAGGAGCUUGCUCCUCUGACGUUAGCGGCGGACGGGUGAGUAACACGUGGAUAACCUACCUAUAAGACUGGGAUAACUUCGGGAAACCGGAGCUAAUACCGGAUAAUAUAUUGAACCGCAUGGUUCAAUAGUGAAAGACGGUUUUGCUGUCACUUAUAGAUGGAUCCGCGCCGCAUUAGCUAGUUGGUAGGGUAACGGCUUACCAAGGCGACGAUGCGUAGCCGACCUGAGAGGGUGAUCGGCCACACUGGAACUGAGACACGGUCCAGACUCCUACGGGAGGCAGCAGUAGGGAAUCUUACGCAAUGGGCGGAAGCCUGACGGAGCAACGCCGCGUGAGUGGUGGAGGUCUUCCGAUCGUAAAACUCUGUUAUUAGGGAAGAACAAAUGUGGAAGUAACUAUGCACGUCUUGACGGUACCUAAUCAGAAAGCCACGGCUAACUACGUG